CGGGUGGUAGCGCAGUUGGCUAGCGCACCUGCUUUGGGAGCAGGGGGUCGCGGGUUCGAGUCCCGCCCGCCCGACCA
rnacentral:tRNA from 1 species